UACGUAGGGUGCAAGCGUUAAUCGGAAUUACUGGGCGUAAAGCGUGCGCAGGCGGUUUUGUAAGUCUGUCGUGAAAUCCCCGGGCUCAACCUGGGAACUGCAUUUGUGACUGUAGAGCUGGAGUACGGUAGAGGGGGAUGGAAUCCGCGUGUAGCAGUGAAAUGCGUAGAUAUGCGGAGGAACACCGAUGGCGAAGGCAGCCCCCUGGGUCAAGACUGGACGCUCAUGCACGAAAGCGUGGGGAGCAAACAGG
rnacentral:rRNA from 1 species